rnacentral:misc_RNA from 1 species
ACACCCUCAAGCGCGGCUUGGUGUUGGGCGUCUGUCCCGCUUCGGCGCGGACUCGCCUCGAAACGAUUGGCAGCCACCCCGGCGGCUUCGAGCGCAGCAGAAUUGCGACUCGGGCCGCGGGGGUCGGCCCCCACGAAGCAUCUUCCA